rnacentral:rRNA from 1 species
UACGUAGGGGGCAAGCGUUAUCCGGAUUUACUGGGUGUAAAGGGAGCGUAGACGGCAAUACAGGUCGGAAGUGAAAUACCCGGGCUCAACCUGGGAACUGCUUUGGAAACUGUAUGGCUGGAGUGCUGGAGAGGUAAGCGGAAUUCCUGGUGUAGCGGUGAAAUGCAUAGAUAUCACGCAGAACGCCGAUUGCGAAGGCAGCUUACCGGCGCUCAACUGACGCUGAGGCACGAAAGUGCGGGUAUCGAACAGG